GUGAUUUUGCUGGUUAAUUCCGUUAACGAACGAGACCUCGGCCUACUAAAUAGUUCGUGUUAUGGUAACAUAGUAUGAGACUUCUUAGAGGGACAUUUCGGGUUUACCGAAAGGAAGUUUGUGGCAAUAACAGGUCUGUGAUGCCCUUAGAUGUUCUGGGCCGCACGCGCGCUACACUGACGACUUCAACAAGUUUUUUGGCCUUGCCAAAUUUCCUUGGCCGGAAGGUCUGGGUAAUCUUUUAAAAGGUCGUCGUGAUGGGGCUAGAUUCUUGCAAUUAUUAAUCUCCAACGAGGAACC
rnacentral:rRNA from 1 species